rnacentral:rRNA from 1 species
CCUACGGGAGGCAGCAGUGGGGAAUAUUGGGCAAUGGGCGAAAGCCUGACCCAGCAACGCCGCGUGAAGGAAGAAGGCUUUCGGGUUGUAAACUUCUUUUGACAGGGAAGAGCAGAAGACGGUACCUGUCGAAUAAGCCACGGCUAACUACGUGCCAGCAGCCGCGGUAAUACGUAGGUGGCAAGCGUUGUCCGGAUUUACUGGGGGUAAAGGGCGUGUAGCCGGGCUGACAAGUCAGAUGUGAAAUCCGGGGGCUCAACCCCCGAACUUCUUUUGAAACUGUUGGUCUUGAGUAUCGGAGAGGCAGGCGGAAUUCCUAGUGUAGCGGUGAAAUGCGUAGAUAUUAGGAGGAACACCAGUGGCGAAGGCGGCCUGCUGGACGACAACUGACGGUGAGGCGCGAAAGCGUGGGGAGCAAACAGGAUUAGAUACCCGAGUAGUC